GUUGGAAUCCACCCAGGUUGCCUAUUACUAAGUAACAUGUCUUGCUGAAGAGCCACAGAAAACUAUACACUCCCUUGAAGGGCAGCACAGUAUCACUUCAAGUUACCAUCAGAGAGAUGACCUUCUUCACCCCCAUCUCAGAACAGCAAGCAUUUUCCAGAACAGGAGAUGCAUCUGCAGUUAGUGGGCAUGGAAUGGAAAAUGCCAGCUGGCCCAUUCAGGAACUGAAAUUGAAGAGAGAACUGGUUAACAGACAUUUUAGAGCUUCCCCGGUGGCGCAGUGGUUAAGAAUCCACCUCCAAUGCAGGGGAUACAGGUUCGAGCCCUGGUCCCGGAAGAUCCCACAUGCUGCGGAGCAACUAAGCCCCUGUGCCACAACUACUGAGCCUGCGCUCUAGAGUCCAUGAGCCACACCUACUGAAGCCUGCGCGCCUAGAGCCCGUGCUCUGCAACAAGAGAAGCCACCGCAAUGAGAAGCCUGAGCACUGCAACAAAGAGUAGCCCCCGCUCACCGCUACUAGAGAAAGUCCGCGCACAGCAACAAAGGCCCAAUGCAGCCAAAAAUAAAUAAAUAAAAAUUAAGGGGAAAAAAAAGAGUUAUUUUAGUUACUUUCAAGUUUGUUAUAAAUAACACUGUGAAGAACACUCUAAGAGGUAAAUCUUUGCAUAUAUCCCUAUGUAUUUAGUAUUGCUGGGUUAAAAGAUAUAGACUAUGUUUAGGCUCCAGAAAGGUUUAUAAUAAUUGCACCCCUAACCACACCUAAGAUAAUACUAUCUUUCUUUUUAAUCUUUCCCAUUUGAUUAUUCACUGACCAUUAACAUGCCUUCAAUGAAACCAAAGUAACAGAUGUAUAGGUAGAUAUUCAAUGCUUUCUCCAAAAUAAGACCAAUAAAAUGU